CAAUUGAGGAUGGAAAAAAUUCAGAUUAUCAUGGAUAAUGGAAUGUAGAGAACAGACGUUUUCACAUACUCUUGAUUUCACAGAUAGAAGUUGCAUGUUCUAGGGCGUCGGUUAGAUGAGUUCUGUAUAACCACAUAUUUCCUCAUCUGCACCCCAUUCUUAGAUAAACCACCUAUAAAUAAUGGAAAAUCAAGGAAAUUGGAAAAUCGCUUACUCAAUGAUGGACUUCUGGAUACCUGGUUUUGGCAGAAUGGUGUCCUAGGGCCAGACAAGACAAUCACAUUCACAGCCACUGCCCCUGAAAUCAACUCCCACUGGAUUGCCAUUGCCUUUUCCAUAUCAAACACAAGUGGAUUAUCGGUGGAUUAUACCAGCACUCCGUUUGAAGUGACCUCACCAUUGCAAGUCACCAUAAAUGUACCCAGCGUUACCUUUCUUGGAGAAGAGUUCAUUGUGGAGGCAACUGUCUUCAACAAGCAGACACAGACAGCUCAGGUCCUUGCAAAACUGAUGGAGAAUGAAAACUUCACGAUUCUGUUCCAAAGCAACGGUCUCUCCCCCAAUGAACGAAGCUUGAAUGUGUCUGGACAGAGUUCUGCCACUGCCUUCUUCCCUGUUUCUCUGAAUGUUGACGGCAAAGUUUCCUUCGCUGUAGUUGUCUCCUACCAAAAUGUGGAUUACACAGUGGUGGGAUACACAUUGGUCAAGGUAAGUGUCUGCUAGCGUGCGUGCAUGUUCUCAGAUACAGCUGCAAUGG